ACGCACGCUGGCGGCAGGCCUAACACCUGCAAGUCGAGCGGACCUUUCGGGGUCAGCGGCGGACGGGUGAGUAACGCGUGGGAAUAUGCCCUUCUCUACGGAAUAGUCCUGGGAAACUGGGGGUAAUACCGUAUACGCCCUUUGGGGGAAAGAUUUAUCGGGGAAGGAUUAGCCCGCGUUGGAUUAGGUAGUUGGUGGGGUAAUGGCCUACCAAGCCGACGAUCCAUAGCUGGUUUGAGAGGAUGAUCAGCCACACUGGGACUGAGACACGGCCCAGACUCCUACGGGAGGCAGCAGUGGGGAAUCUUAGACAAUGGGGGCAACCCUGAUCUAGCCAUGCCGCGUGAGUGAUGAAGGCCUUAGGGUUGUAAAGCUCUUUCAGCUGGGAAGAUAAUGACGGUACCAGCAGAAGAAGCCCCGGCUAACUCCGUG
rnacentral:rRNA from 1 species